GGGGUUGGCUUAGUGGUAGAGCGCUUUCCUAGCAUGUGUGAGGUACUGGGUUCGAUCCUCAGCACUACA
rnacentral:tRNA from 1 species